rnacentral:rRNA from 1 species
ACAUAUCAAUAAGCGGAGGAAAAGAAACUAACAAGGAUUCCCCUAGUAACUGCGAGUGAAGCGGGAAAAGCUCAAAUUUGAAAUCUGGCAGUCUUUGAUUGUCCGAGUUGUAAUCUAGAGAAGUGUUACCCGCGUUGGACCGUGUACAAGUCUCCUGGAAUGGAGCGUCAUAGAGGGUGAGAAUCCCGUCUUUGACACGGACUGCCAAGGCUUUGUGGUGCGCUCUCAAAGAGUCGAGUUGUUUGGGAAUGCAGCUCAAAAUGGGUGGUAAAUGCCAUCUAAAGCUAAAUACAGGCGAGAGACCGAUAGCGAACAAGUACCGUGAGGGAAAGAUGAAAAGAACUUUGGAAAGAGAGUUAAACAGUACGUGAAAUUGCUGAAAGGGAAACGCUUGAAGUCAGUCGCGUUGGCCGGGAAUCAACCUUACUUUUGUUGGGUGUACUUUCUAGUCGACGGGUCAGCAUCAGUUUUGACCAGUGGAUAAAGGCGUAGGAAAUGUGGCAUCUUCGGAUGUGUUAUAGUCCUGCGUUGUAUACAUUGGUUGGGACUGAGGAACUCAGCACGCCGCAAGGCCGGGGUUCGCCCACGUUCGUGCUUAGGAUGCUGGCAUAAUGGCUUUAAUCGACCCGUCUUGAAACACGGACCAAGGAGUUUAACAUGCCUGCGAGUGUUUGGGUGGAAAACCCGAGCGCGUAAUGAAAGUGAAAGUUGAGAUCCCUGUCGUGGGGAGCAUCGACGCCCGGMCCAGACCUUUUGUGACGGAUCCGCGGUAGAGCAUGUAUGUUGGGACCCGAAAGAUGGUGAACUAUGCCUGAAUAGGGUGAAGCCAGAGGAAACUCUGGUGGAGGCUCGUAGCGAUUCUGACGUGCAAAUCGAUCGUCAAAUUUGGGUAUAGGGGCGAAAGACUAAUCGAUC